rnacentral:lncRNA from 1 species
UUUCUAUUAUGAAAUUUUAAUUGAUUUGUUUGCAUAUUACAGCGACACCUGACCGUUUCGAACGUUAUGCCAUAGUUGAAAACAAAGUGUACUUAGGACUAGGAUGCAAAGCUGGAAAAAGUAGUUGGAAAUUAAGUAAAAAAAAAGGGUUGUUGACAUUUACCAGAGGCGAAAUAUUUGUGGAAACGAAAUAUUGAAAAUAUAUGCUUAGACAAUACGAAAGUAAAAAAUUCCAUUCCUAGUCGAAGUCCUGUAAAAUUGUGCUCACCAAAAAAUUGGAAUUAUAUUUAAGUUUAGUUAAAGACUACAUCAAUUCAGAUGAUCGUUACAAAACUUUGGAGGAUGAACUAAAAUCAGUAAUGAUAAAAGACAGUGUCCGAAGAUUGAGUAUUAACAUUAGAGACAACAGGUCAAAAAGAAUUGCUUUGAAUGCAGUACGUUAAAUUAAUAAACUACACAAUGCGUUUGAAAAUUACACAGUUUAAUGAAUAAGUUGUUUAAAAUUUAAACUAGUAAACUAUUAAAAAUUAAACUAUUUCCUUAUUAUAA